rnacentral:piRNA from 1 species
UAGUGCUUUCCAGAUGUGGAUAUUUUGCCUU